AUCCUGGCUCAGGACGAACGCUGGCGGCGUGCUUAACACAUGCAAGUCGAACGAGAAGAGAUGAGAAGCUUGCUUCUUAUCGAUUCGAGUGGCAAACGGGUGAGUAACGCGUAAGCAACCUGCCCUCUAGAUGGGGACAACAGCUGGAAACGGCUGCUAAUACCGAAUACGUUCUUUCUGUCGCAUGGCAGAAGGAAGAAAGGGAGGCUCUUCGGAGCUUUCGCUGGAGGAGGGGCUUGCGUCUGAUUAGCUAGUUGGAGGGGUAACGGCCCACCAAGGCGACGAUCAGUAGCCGGUCUGAGAGGAUGAACGGCCACAUUGGGACUGUGACACGGCCCAGACUCCUACGGGAGGCAGCAGUGGGGAAUCUUCCGCAAUGGACGAAAGUCUGACGGAGCAACGCCGCGUGAACGAUGACGGCCUUCGGGUUGUAAAGUUCUGUUAUACGGGACGAAUGGUACGACGGCCAAUACCCGUCGUAAGUGACGGUACCGUAAGAGAAAGCCACGGCUAACUACGUGCCAGCAGCCGCGGUAAUACGUAGGUGGCAAGCGUUGUCCGGAAUUAUUGGGCGUAAAGGGCGCGCAGGCGGCGUCGUAAGUCGGUCUUAAAAGUGCGGGGCUUAACCCCGUGAGGGGACCGAAACUGCGAUGCUAGAGUAUCGGAGAGGAAAGCGGAAUUCCCAGUGUAGCGGUGAAAUGCGUAGAUAUUAGGAGGAACACCAGCGGCGAAAGCGGCUUUCUGGACGACAACUGACGCUGAGGCGCGAAAGCCAGGGGAGCAAACGGGAUUAGAUACUCCGGUAGUCCUGGCCGUAAACGAUGGAUACUAGGUGUAGGAGGUAUCGACCCCUUCUGUGCCGGAGUUAACGCAAUAAGUAUCCCGCCUGGGGAGUACGGCCGCAAGGC
rnacentral:rRNA from 1 species